rnacentral:rRNA from 1 species
GUCCAUGCCGUAAACGAUGUCUACUAGCCGUUGGGCCUUUGAGGCUUUAGUGGCGCAGCUAACGCGAUAAGUAGACCGCCUGGGGAGUACGGUCGCAAGACUAAAACUCAAAGGAAUUGACGGGGACCCGCACAAGCGGUGGAUGAUGUGGAUUAAUUCGAUGCAACGCGAAGAACCUUACCUGGUCUUGACAUGUACGGAAUCCUCCAGAGACGGAGGAGUGCCUUCGGGAACCGUAACACAGGUGCUGCAUGGCUGUCGU